UUUUUAAACAACUGUCCUUUGUGUUGCCUGACUACGUUUGUGGCAGCAAGUGAAAAGAGAUCUUUUUUUUUUUUUUAACAUUUAAAUAUCAUCUGUGUCACAAGCAAACCUUUCUGUAUAUUAAGGACAGAAAUCGGAAGCUGUCUCCAUUGUCUUCUAAACACCGUAAUUAGAAGCUGAAAAGCUUACAGCAACCAAACCCAAUAAGGUCUCAUUAUGAACAAAAUAUUCUACCGUGGCUCAACAAGUGACCCAAUGUAUUCCAACAAGAUGAAGCCUUCAGCCUUCCUGCCCAAUUAUGGCUUCAGAGAGAAGAGUGGAAAAGAAAACCCGUCUGCUGGAAAGGGUUCAGAGUCCCUCGGAUGGGUGGAGUGGUGUUUUGUAAAUGAGUUGAAUGAGAGAAUCAGUGAGAAGAAAGCUAGAAUAAUUACACAGAUUGACUAAAGAAAAAAGGGGAGGGGAUGAUUUUAGGACCAAAGAAAUUCUUUUCCCCAUCAGAUCACUGACUUCUCCAUUUGGAUGCGUAGUGUCUUUUUCCCUUGGACUCAUCUUCUUGAAGUCUGUGCAAAUGCAAAGUCCUAAGAGAGGCAGGAUAUUAGGGUGGUGUAAAAGUAAUUGCGGUUUUUGCAAUUACUUUUAAUGCCAAAACCGCAAUUACUUUUGCACCAACUUAAUACAUUAAGGAUUAUCAGUCAUUUACACCUGAGUAUAAAUGAACACUUUAAGAAAGCAGAUGGCUAGAGAAGGAAACUAAAAAUAAAUAAUAAUAAUAAUAAUUAAUAAUAAUAAUUAGAAAAUCUCUCCUGUUUUCAUGUUUUACCUGGGAUUGUUGUGAAUGUUAGCACCUUGCUUCACCACAUUGUCAUGUCUUUUUAUGUUGACUUUAAACUUGGAAGUACCAGGUAAGGGAGAAAUGAAGUGUGUUUUGAUAUCCUAUAGCUAUUUCAGAAAAGACUUUCCCCAAACCAAGCAAACACAAAGCUGCUUGGUUAUGAGGUAUUCUCAUUUAAAUCAGGCAUGUGAAAUGUGGAAAUAAAUCUUGGAUUUUUUUCUUUAUUUUAUAUUCUGCUAGUGAAACACCGAACUCUGAAAAAUGAGCAUGUCACGAUUGCUUUUAAUAAAUCUACUUACCUGUCA